UCGCUCUCGAAUGUUUUCUGGGGCCUCAGAAAUCGCAACCGCCUCAAUUUGACCCAAAAAAUUACAAAUCACCUAAAAUACCCUUAUUCGUGUACCUUCACUCCAACUUAACGUCUCUGGAAACGAAGACUUAUUUGUAAUUUCAAAAAAGUUUCCCCAGUCCUACUUACAUACGGAUUUCGGGCUUUCGACGCGUUUAUAUAACGCGUGUUCUGAUUAUUUCAUUGUCGAUUCCAGCAGUUGUGAAUUUUUUGAGCAAUUUUUUUUUUUAUUUAUAGUUACAAGAUAUUCAAAUGGCUGAAAGAGGAGCAGCAACAGCGACGAUGACGACGAAGAAUGUGGUGGAAUCUGUUAUGGUUAGGGCUCCUCCUCCUCCACCGCCAUCAUUCUCUUCAUCGAAAAGUCCAGGAAGACGCAUCGGCGGCGGCGGCUGCUGCGGCCUUCAAUCUCGUUGCUCGAAACGGUUUUUCUCUCAGAAUAACGGGAAUUUCGAACGAAGCGCCGUUCCGUCGCGGUUCAUGUAUUAUCGCAAUAGUAUUUGGGUGAAUUUCUCUGCUGAUGUUGUUGAAACGCUGCGAACCGGUUUUUUGGAGCGGAGACCGAUUGUCGAAGCGUGGAUCGACGGUGCGAAGUAUAUAUUUGAUUUGAAGAGGAUGCUGCAGAUCGAUUACCUGACAGGAAAUUGCCGGUCAAUCUCUUGGAUCGAUGAAAAUGGUAAGUGUUUUUUCCCUAAUGAUUUUUUCAGCGAAGAAGAAGUUAUGGAAUCCGCAUAUGGAAACGAAAAAGAUCAUAUUAUUAAUUACAAUUACAAAAAUAAGAAUAGUAAUUGCAAUCCUAAGAUUGAGAUUGAAGUUAAGACUGAUAGAGCUUCAUUAAAGAGAAAGCGAGAGGAGGAGCCUGAAGUGAGUUCCUCUUGCAAAGCCGUGGGAGCAGUAGAUGUGAUUAAACAUCAGCGUUUGAAGGAAGGAGGAGCUGCUAAAUGGCCGAAUACGAAGCUGUUGAGAGAAACAGAGAGAGCAUAUGUGCUCGUUAAGGAUCAUAUCUUGAACGGAAUAAGGAAAGUUGAUGCUGGGGUUACAAUUACUUCAAUUCAUCAGUGUAUGCACGAAGGGCAUUUGAAUAAGGCUCGUCUUGAGGUUUUUCAGAAGCAGAUUGAGAUUACUAAGGCUGCAAGAGGCACUUCAAAUUUGGUGUAUGCAUGGUAUGGGGCCUCCGCCAAGGUUGUGGAGAGUAUUUUGGCUCAUGGGUUUGGGAUGCCCAGUAAGGUUCCCACGACUGUUUACGGGAUUGGCGUUUAUUUGUCUCCUGUAGGGUUCCCACACUUGAGUGCAAAGCUGGCAAAUGCUGAUAAUGAUGGUAUAAAACAUCUUAUUCUGUGCCGGGUUAUAUUGGGAAAUGUUGAAAAAGUGGAAGCUGGAUCUCAACAGUAUCACCCAUCUAGUUUGGAUUUUGACACUGCUUCUGAUGAUCCUAAGAACCCAGAGUGGUAUGUGGUAUGGUCAACUAAUGCAAACAUGCAUAUUCUUCCUGAGAGUGUUGUGAGCUUUAGACCUUCUAGUAACAUGCAAGGUCAACCGAGGCCGCUACCGGGUGUUAAGUAUUCCCUUGAAAAAUUGUUUUCGAAGAUUAAGAGCUCUCUUCCUCCUGCCAAAGUCCAGGAAAUAUGGAUUUCAUACACCUCAUAUAAGGCUGGAACGCUCGCCAAGGAUGCCUUUAUAAGUCAAUUACGACUGGUUGCUGGGGAUGAGAAUCAGACCUAUUUAAUGAGGGAGACCCACUUGAGUGAGAAACUAAGCCAUGUUAAGUGAGCACUGUGCUUGUUUUGUUAAGGAGGUUAUUCAGCCACAACAAGAUUGUGGAAGCUGCCCAAGGCAUGCAAAAUGACAGGGGGUUUUGGCAAACGGAUAAACAAGCACAAAGCUAUCAGAUGCUGAUGAUAAUGGCGUAAAACAUCUUAUACUGUGCCGGGUUAAAUUAGGAAAUGUUGAAAAAGUGGAAGCAGGAUCUCAAUAGUAUCGCCCAUCUAGUGUGGAUUUUACACUGCUGAUGAUCCUAAGAACCCAAAGUGGUAUGUGGUAUGGUUGACUACUGUGAGCAGGCAUAUUCUACCCGAGUGUGUGGGGAGUUUCAGAUCAUCUGGUAACAUGCAAUUUAAACUUCUUUGCUCUCCUUGGUAUCCUUUUUUUUCUUUCAUAUUUUUUGGUCGCUUUCUUGUUAGUGAGCCUAAGCUAUUAUCUAGUGGCAACUUUUCCCAUUCCAGAUUGCUUUCAAAGACUUUCAGCACUCUUCGCCCAAGUAAGGGAAUUUAUUACUUUACACUGUAAAUUGAAGGAUCUUGCAUGCGUGACACCUGUUAAAGGACAUUAAGGGUAUUUUAAUUUGUAUCAAAUGAAGUGGAAUACCGACGGUGCAACCCACUGAUUUAAAGCCAAAUCCAUGCCUUGAUUGCUUGGAAAAGCACAAAAAAAGAACAAUUAAGUAAAAAACAAAUGGUCGUCCCUCAGUUUACUUGUGAUUUAAGUAAUAAUCUUUGUUUGUCUUUUUUGUUUUGUCUUCUUCCUCAGGCACGUUUUACUUGUUUCUCUCAACAAGCGAUUAACCCAGAAAUUGGUUGAAAUUUGUUUCGAAGUAAUUUUUUUUUUCAUAAAAGUUUAGGUUGCUGGGGACGUUUUUUAAUCGAAGAUUACAGUAGAUCGUACGUUAUAGAAGAUUAAAUCUGCUAAUUUUAUAUAUACGAUGAUACAUACGA